rnacentral:rRNA from 1 species
GAUGAACGCUGGCGGCGUGCCUAAUACAUGCAAGUCGAGCGAAUGGAUUAAGAGCUUGCUCUUAUGAAGUUAGCGGCGGACGGGUGAGUAACACGUGGGUAACCUGCCCAUAAGACUGGGAUAACUCCGGGAAACCGGGCUAAUACCGGAUAACAUUUUGAACCGCAUGGUUCGAAAUUGAAAGGCGGCUUCGGCUGUCACUUAUGGAUGGACCCGCGUCGCAUUAGCUAGUUGGUGAGGUAACGGCUCACCAAGGCAACGAUGCGUAGCCGACCUGGGAGGGUGAUCGGCCACACUGGGACUGAAACACGGCCCAGACUCCUACGGGAGGCAGCAGUAGGGAAUCUUCCGCAAUGGACGAAAGUCUGACGGAGCAACGCCGCGUGAGUGAUGAAGGCUUUCGGGUCGUAAAACUCUGUUGUUAGGGAAGAACAAGUGCUAGUUGAAUAAGCUGGCACCUUGACGGUACCUAACCAGAAAGCCACGGCUAACUACGUGCCAGCCGCCGCAGUAA